GAAGGUAUAGCACAGUAGUAGAGUGCAUUCCUAGCAUGCAGGGGAUCCUGGGUUCAAUCCUCAGUACCUCCA
rnacentral:tRNA from 1 species